rnacentral:rRNA from 1 species
UACGUAGGGGGCAAGCGUUAUCCGGAUUUACUGGGUGUAAAGGGAGCGUAGACGGAAUUGCAAGUCCGAUGUGAAAAUCCGGGGCCCAACCCCGGAACUGCAUUGGAAACUGUAUUUCUAGAGUGUCGGAGAGGCAAGUGGAAUUCCUGGUGUAGCGGUGAAAUGCGUAGAUAUCAGGAGGAACACCAGUGGCGAAGGCGGCUUGCUGGACGAUGACUGACGUUGAGGCUCGAAAGCGUGGGGAGCAAACAGG